CAAUGUCAAACCUGCACUGAUGAGGAGUGUUCAUCAUCACCCUUAUUGACCUGCGCCUCAGAGACCAUGUGUGUAACAGCCAAUAUUCAAGUUACCCCAAUUGGAUCUUCAUCUUCAACUGAGACAAUCUUCAAAGGCUGUGCAGCAUCCUCUGUUUGUCCAACCACUGGAAAUCGAACAUUUUCAGCAGAUGCUGCAGCUGGAAGUGUUCUGGCAGCUGCCAGAUGUUGUGACACUGAUGACUGUAAUGGAGAAACUCUUCCUGCACCGACUCCUCAAUCAGAGAACGGUGGACAGUGUUUCACCUGUUUCCCUGGUCAACCUGAAUGCCAGAGUAUAUCAAGAUGUGAAGGAGUGGAGGAUCGAUGCUUUCAGGGAGCUG